rnacentral:tRNA from 1 species
GCCCCCAUAGCUCUAAUGGCAGAGCGUCGCUCUCGUAAAGCGAAGGUCGAGAGUUCGAAUCUCUCUGUGGGCA